AGAGCUGCCAUCGUAACAGCUUUUGAUGAUUUUGUACAUCUAAUUUUGAACACUAUAAUAAAAUCCUUCUCCACAGCAGGACGUUUAAAAUGCUGCCACCUGUUGGACAAACUAAAACCAGACAAAGACACAUCUGUGGCAUUAUCAAUAAUUCUGGACAUGAUGACUGGUCUGCUGUUCAAAAACGACGUUUGAAAUGUGGUUUUAGUGCAAAUUUCACCCAAACUGUGCUGCUGUGGCAGCUGAAUGUGCAUCGUAUCAGCACAGCGGUAUUUGUCGUAUAUCUUGAUGCGCUGGGAUGUUGUAGGUGGCAUCAGUACCUACACUGUCAAGUCACUCUGAGAGACUUUUGGUAUCUGUAGUGGUGGCCUAGUGGACCCGAAAUCAUGGCUGCCCACUGCUCACUAUGGGACACAUUGUGGCACUGUGUGCUGUGCUGCAGUGUAUCACAAUGACAAUCGCUUCACUUUCACUAAAUCUAAGCGUUGACCUAUAAAUCUGGCCAAAUCAUUUCAUGUAAUAUUAUGUCUACCCACAUCAAGAAGCCUGGGGAAGUCUAAUAUCACUUUUGAAUUCUGUAUUGUUGUUUUGCAUAUUUUAAUGCAUAUUUGAACGGCGAUUGGACAGUAUGUUGGUGUGGCGUCUGUGCCUAAAUGCACAGUAAACCAGCGUCUCAUUAUUACCUACCUGGCCUGUCCAUAAUGGGACCUCAGGAACAAAGUGUGUUUCCUGGCUGAAACUGUGAAUAUGAACUUCAUCUCUGCGCAUGUUUACCUUGGCCAUGUUCACAUAUUCAGGAAUAUUUCCUGAAACCAGUGGUUAAUUAUUAGUAAUUGACAACAUGAAUACCUCCACCACACCCUGGGGAUGUACGUACAAGAAUGGCCUCGACUUUACUGUCAAUAUGGUGCUUACGGCUGGUGUCAACUGGACCAUUUCUGUAGUUUUAUAUCAUGAUGUUUUAACGCUGUGCACUUUAAUAUUUUGAUUCAGCUGUACUGUACUCUGCCUUAUCACUUGCACCUACAAUAAAAGCUGCAGACGUUGCCUUCAGUGCUUCUUUAACUACAUUCAGCGCAUUUUCGUCCAGAUCCGACUUUCUCUGUUCCAGAAUCAGUUCAUUAAAAAC
ensembl:lncRNA